ACACGACUACAUUAGAUACCCGCGUAGUCCUAGCCGUAAACGAUACUCGCUAGGUGUCGGCCACGGUGCGACCGUUGUCGGUGCCGUAGGGAAGCCGUGAAGCGAGCCACCUGGGAAGUACGGCCGCAAGGCUGAAACUUAAAGGGAAUUGGCGGGGGAGCACCACAACGGGUGGAGCUUGCGGUUUAAUUGGAUUCAACGCCGGAAAUCUUACCGGGACCGACAGCAACAUGAAGGCCAGGCUGAAGACUUUGCCGGAUUAGCUG
rnacentral:rRNA from 1 species